UUUAAGUGCAACCAUAAGUUUCCGCGCUCAACUUUGAUUUUCCGUCUUAUUCGCAAUUUUUUUAUAAUUAGUAUUUUUGUUGUUAUGAGAUGAUAAAACAUAAAUAGUAUUUUAUUCGUGUUUUAUGUUUUUAAUUUUUUUUAAAAUAUUUUCAAAUAAGACGAACAAUUAAAAUUGGGCGAAGAAAACCAUGUCUACACUUGGA
rfam:Oryza rufipogon genomic scaffold, chr03